GGAGAGAUGCAGGAGUGGUUGAACUGGCACGCCUGGAGAGCGUGUGUACCCGUGAGGGUACCGUGGGUUCGAAUCCCACUCUCUCCG
rnacentral:tRNA from 1 species